rnacentral:rRNA from 1 species
GUAAUCGGGGGGGGAGAGGGGGGGGAAAGACGAAGGGGGAAAGCGUUAAUCGGAAGUACUGGGCGUAAAGCGGGUGGAGGCGGGUCGGUAAGUCUGCUGUGAAAUCCCCGGGGUCAACCUGGGAAUGGCAGUGGAUACUGGAGAGCUAGAGUGUGAUAGAGGAUGGUGGAAUUCCCGGUGUAGCGGUGAAAUGCGUAGAGAUCGGGAGGAACAUCAGUGGCGAAGGCGGCCAUCUGGAUCAACACUGACGCUGAGGCACGAAAGCGUGGGGAGCAAACAGGAUUAGAUACCCGAGUAGUC